rnacentral:rRNA from 1 species
UACGAAGGGGGCUAGCGUUGCUCGGAAUCACUGGGCGUAAAGGGUGCGUAGGCGGGUCUUUAAGUCAGGGGUGAAAUCCUGGAGCUCAACUCCAGAACUGCCUUUGAUACUGAAGAUCUUGAGUUCGGGAGAGGUGAGUGGAACUGCGAGUGUAGAGGUGAAAUUCGUAGAUAUUCGCAAGAGCACCAGUGGCGAAGGCGGCUCACUGGCCCGAUACUGACGCUGAGGCACGAAAGCGUGGGGAGCAAACAGG